rnacentral:rRNA from 1 species
UGGGGGAUAUUGCGCAAUGGGGGCAACCCUGACGCAGCAACGCCGCGUGAAGGAUGAAGGUUUUCGGAUUGUAAACUUCUUUUAUUAAGGACGAAACUUGACGGUACUUAAUGAAUAAGCUCCGGCUAACUACGUGCCAGCAGCCGCGGUAAUACGUAGGGAGCAAGCGUUGUCCGGAUUUACUGGGUGUAAAGGGUGCGUAGGCGGCUUUGCAAGUCAGAUGUGAAAUCUAUGGGCUCAACCCAUAAACUGCAUUUGAAACUGUAGAGCUUGAGUGAAGUAGAGGCAGGCGGAAUUCCCCGUGUAGCGGUGAAAUGCGUAGAGAUGGGGAGGAACACCAGUGGCGAAGGCGGCCUGCUGGGCUUUAACUGACGCUGAGGCACGAAAGCGUGGGUAGCAAACAGGAUUAGAUACCCUGGUAGUCCACGCUGUAAACGAUGAUUACUAGGUGUGGGGGGUCUGACCCCUUCCGUGCCGGAGUUAACACAAUAAGUAAUCCACCUGGGGAGUACGGCCGCAAGGUUGAAACUCAAAGGAAUUGACGGGGGCCCGCACAAGCAGUGGAGUAUGUGGUUUAAUUCGAAGCAACGCGAAGAACCUUACCAGGUCUUGACAUCCAACUAACGAAGUAGAGAUACAUUAGGUGCCCUUCGGGGAAAGUUGAGACAGGUGGUGCAUGGUUGUCGUCAGCUCGUGUCGUGAGAUGUUGGGUUAAGUCCCGCAACGAGCGCAACCCUUGCUAUUAGUUGCUACGCAAGAGCAUUCUAAUAGGACUGCCGUUGACAAAACGGAGGAAGGUGGGGACGACGUCAAAUCAUCAUGCCCCUUAUGACCUGGGCUACACACGUACUACAAUGGAUGUUAACAGAGGGAAGCAAGACAGCGAUGUGGAGCAAACCCCUAAAAACAUUCUCAGUUCAGAUUGCAGGCUGCAACCCGCCUGCAUGAAGAUGGAAUUGCUAGUAAUCGCGGAUCAGCAUGCCGCGGUGAAUACGUUCCC